AAGCUCUAGGGGUGCUGUAGUGUAAUAUAGCUGAGAACAAACCCUUAAGACUUGAUCUGGAUAAUGCCAGCGGAGGGAAAGAGAUUUU
rnacentral:ncRNA from 1 species